UGAUUGAUCACCUGAGGUGAGCCAUGAGUCAGCCAGAGGAGCACAGGUGAAGGCAAUUCAAUUCACCUGUACUGCCGGAAGGGGUGGAGCCAGGCUGCACCUCUCCUAAACCUAUUGAAGAGCUGGCUAUCAGCAGGGAAGGAUCUCUUCUGGAGAUUGCCUCUACUCGUGUUUUGUGGGUGAGCCCAGCAUAAGGGUCUCCCUGAUGGCAUUCACCAGGCUGCCUCCUGCCAUAGUUGUAUCCUGCUGGAAAGUAAAUCGAGGCACACAUUCAGAAAAUCAGGGCGUGGAUGUCACUUUUUCAUUGAAGUUUUUAGGCCACGCACACGAACAAUGAAUGUCACCAGGCGAUCCAGCUCUGGAGUAGCCCAUGCGUUUUGACUUGUUGCUGGAGCUCUCUAGACACAUCUGCUGCCAUGAGAUGCCUCAGCCAAGGAUUUUGAGCCAAGACAUGAGGGAAAUGGUUUAACCAGAUGUGUGCCCAUGUCUGCAAAACAGAAUUUUAAGAUGCUGAAAUUUAAAAGCUUGCCAUCAUCUCUCCUGCCUCCCAGCAGCAAGGGAAGACUGAAAUCACUGGGAAUGGAAUCCAGUUCAUCUUCUGGCUCUCCGAAUACAGCAACAACAUUUAUGGUCUGAUCUUCAACAGCUUCCUUUGAGCACUAGAAUUUCCAAGUGCAUGUUUUCAGAGCACAAGCAACCUCUUGUCUGUCAUCUCUUGUUUAAACCAAAAAAACUGAAAAGUCAACUGUGAAAAUAUAGGGGGGAAAAAAAAAAAAAAAAAGGCCUUUGACAUUGAAACAAAGCUUCUUUAACUUGCCUAAUACAAAACAAAGUGGAAUUGUAACAAUGAAUUGAGGAGAUGUGGAUGGUAAAAGCAAGGUACUGGCAUUGGAGGUAAGAUAAAACCAGAUCCCAGCGGAAAGCAGUUGGGGGAAGAAGUUUAACAAGUUUGCUUUAUGUG